GCCCUUGUCGACUUGAACUCAGAGCCUUCCCCACUUCUUUAGCCUCUCCUAUGCAGAAAUUCUCGCUAGGAGGGAGCAGAAAAGUGCUGGGCUGGGAGUGGGGACACCUGGGCUCUGCUGAGCCUGGGAGAGCUGGUUCCCUUCUCUACCCUGACACACCCACAAAGGGGCUCGGUGCCUCACUUCCCCACCCCCUCCAGCUCCUGCCCCUCCCUGGCGGAGGUGGAGGUGCAGUUCUAUCCAGGAAGGGCCCUUAGUUGAUCCUCUCAGGCUCGCUUGUCCCUGGGGAACGCGGCAGCUCUGGGGCAGGCCCCUCCCCAAUGCAGGAGUCCCCAUGGCUGGAAGAUGGAUAUAACCUGGUGCCCACCUCCUGGGCUGCCGCGCGUGAGCAGAGAGCAGCUGGCAGCCUCCACACAGCUCCUCCUACAGUCUCACACAGGUCCCUCCAGACAAGUCUGCCAGCUUCCAGGCGCUACAGAAACUGGCGGAGCUGCAUUCCGGACCCCUUGGCACAGGGGUAAAGGUCUCCAAGGGAGGAGAUAGAGAGAUGGGCCGACCAGGGCCUCUCCGGGAGAAGGUCUCCGACACCCAGCUGUCCGGCACCCCCGCUGCUCCCCACCAAGCGCCGGGUGAUGCCAUCCCUGGCCCUGAGGACUCGGACCUGGUGCCCUCUGUGACCCUGGCUGCAGCUCUGGUCUUGCUGUUCCUCCUGCUCUCGGCAUGGCUGGUGUGGGACAGAUCCCUCCAAGGCUCAUGCUAAUGUGGAUUCCCAUAAAAGGGGUGGAGGAGUCCCUGGACUGGGCCUGGCACAGUCAGUAGUGGCACAGUGGGAACAGAGCCAGGGACACGGAGGGUGUGGGUUGGAGGGUGGAAGGUAGGGGCUGUCCUCCCAGCCACACCCUGGGCCAAACCCCGAGGCCAGCUGCUCAAGCAGCCCCAGCAGGAGGUCCCCAAAGCCCCCCACUGGAGGGCAGCAACCCAGACGAGCUCUGACCUCUGUGGCCACAGAGGAAGCCCGGCGCCCGGCAGGGCCUCAGAUAGUGGGCUCAGAGGCUGGGACACAUGGAAGUGCUCAGGCAGG